rnacentral:rRNA from 1 species
CACGUAGUUAGCCGUGGCUUUCUGGUUAGGUACCGUCAAGGUACCGACAGUUACUCCGAUACUUGUUCUUCCCUAACAACAGAGUUUUACGAUCCGAAAACCUUCAUCACUCACGCGGCGUUGCUCCGUCAGACUUUCGUCCAUUGCGGAAGAUUCCCUACUGCUGCCUCCCGUAGGAGUCCGGGCCGUGUCUCAGUCCCAGUGUGGCCGAUCACCCUCUCAGGUCGGCUACGCAUCGUCGCCUUGGUGAGCCGUUACCUCACCAACUAGCUAAUGCGCCGCGGGCCCAUCUGUAAGUGACAGCUAGAUGCCGUCUUUUAGCUUUCCUACAUGAGUAGAAAAGAAUUAUCCGGUAUUAGCUCCGGUUUCCCGAAGUUAUCCCAAUCUUACAGGCAGGUUGCCCACGUGUUACUCACCCGUCCGCCGCUAAUCAUCGGGAGCUGAGCUCCCUCAGAUUCGCUCGACUUGCAUGUAUUAGGCACGCCGCCAGCGUUCGUCCUGAGCCAGGAUA